GACGAACGCUGGCGGCGUGCUUAACACAUGCAAGUCGAACGGAAGGGCCCUGCUUUUGUGGGGUGCUCGAGUGGCGAACGGGUGAGUAACACGUGAGUAACCUGCCCUUGACUUUGGGAUAACUUCAGGAAACUGGGGCUAAUACCGGAUAGGAGCUCCUGCUGCAUGGUGGGGGUUGGAAAGUUUCGGCGGUUGGGGAUGGACUCGCGGCUUAUCAGCUUGUUGGUGGGGUAGUGGCUUACCAAGGCUUUGACGGGUAGCCGGCCUGAGAGGGUGACCGGCCACAUUGGGACUGAGAUACGGCCCAGACUCCUACGGGAGGCAGCAGUGGGGAAUAUUGCACAAUGGGCGGAAGCCUGAUGCAGCAACGCCGCGUGCGGGAUGACGGCCUUCGGGUUGUAAACCGCUUUCGCAUGUGACGAAGCGUGAGUGACGGUAAUGGGUAAAGAAGCACCGGCUAACUACGUG
rnacentral:rRNA from 1 species